rnacentral:rRNA from 1 species
GACGAACGCUGGCGGCGUGCUUAACACAUGCAAGUCGAACGGAAAGGCCCUGCUUUUGUGGGGUGCUCGUGUGGCGAACGUGUGAGUACCACGUGAGUAACCUGCCCUGGACUUUGGGAUAACUUCAGGAAACUGGGGCUAAUACCGGAUAGGAGCUCCUGCUUCAUGGUGGGGGUUGGAAAGUUUCGGCGGUUGGGGAUGGACUCGCGGCUUAUCAGCUUGUUGGUGGGGUAGUGGCUUACCAAGGCUUUGACGGGUAGCCGGCCUGAGAGGGUGACCGGCCACAUUGGGACUGGGAUACGGCACAGACUCGUACGGGAGGCAGCAGUGGGGAAUAGUGCACAAUGGGCGGGAGCCUGAUGCAGCAACGCCGCGUGCGGGAUAACGGCAAUCAGGUUGUAAACCGCUUUCGCCUGUGACGAAGCGUGAGUGACGGUAAUGGGUAAAGAAGCACCGGCUAACUACGUG